AGUGAACGCUGGCGGUAGGCCUAAUACAUGCAAGUCGAACGGACGCACAGUAAGAGCUUGCUCUUACGGGUGGCGAGUGGCGGACGGGUGAGGCAUACAUCGGAAUCUACUUUUUCGUGGGGGAUAACGUAGGGCCACUUACGCUAAUACCGCAUACGAUCUACGGGUGAAAGCAGUGGAUCUUCGGACCUUGCGCGAUUGAAUGAGCCGAUGCCGGAUUAGCUAGUUGGCGGGGUAAAGGCCCACCAAGGCGACGAUCCGUAGCUGGUCUGAGAGGAUGAUCGGCCACACUGGAACUGAGACGCGGUCCAGACUCCUACGGGAGGCAGCAGUGGGGAAUAUUGGACAAUGGGCGCAAGCCUGAUCCAGCCAUACCGCGUGGGUGAAGAAGGCCUUCGGGUUGUAAAGCCCUGUUGUUGGGAAAGAAAAGCAGCAGGUUAAUACCCCGCUGUUCUGACGGUACCCAAAGAAUAAGCACCGGCUAACUUCGUG
rnacentral:rRNA from 1 species